CGCCCCCAUAAGUGAGCUUGACCAACGGACGUGCCGUAAGAAUUCCAUAUACGGACCUGUGAUGCUGUCCCCACGGGAAAUAUGAACGGCACUUAUAGGCGUGAAUUCAUUGGCUCUGGAGUAUAUGCACCGGGAUAGUGAUGUCAUAUUUGUUGAAGAUCAUCACAAACUGACAUAAACACAGGUUUUAAUCUAAUCCCCCAUCGGCAAUGGGGAACUAUAUAGGCUCCUUGGCAAGGGAAAACGUGUCCAUUUUUUUCCAUACGCACGAACAAAUAAAGGCCCUGUCACACUAUUGCGUAUGAGAGAAACGUAUGAGAAGCGUAUGAAAAUUAAUGAAAUAAUUCUCAUACGCACAAAAAUCCUUUGAAAUGCCAGCGUAUGAGUACCGUACAUCUGGCGUACCUCUAGGGUAUUCAGCGUGUGCCUAGAGUAUGCUUAUCGUAUAAAGCAUACGUCCGAAUACGCACAAAAUUUUUGAGCAUGCUUAAAAAAAAUGUUCUGCCUCGCCGUGUGCCAGCGUA